rnacentral:rRNA from 1 species
UGCGCAGGUGGAAGAGUAAGUCAGUGGUGAAAGGCUGCCGCUUAACGGUAGGACUGCCAUUGAUACUGCUUUUCUUGAGUAUGGUUGAGGUAGACGGAAUGUGUGGUGUAGCGGUGAAAUGCAUAGAUAUCACACAGAACACCGAUUGCGAAGGCAGUCUACUAAGCCAUUACUGACGCUGAGGCACGAAAGCGUGGGUAGCGAACAGGAUUAGAUACCCUGGUAGUCC